rnacentral:tRNA from 1 species
UAGCUUAAAUAAAGCAUUUCGCUUACACCGAAAAAAUAUCUGUUAAAAUCAGAUUAUUUUGA